rnacentral:misc_RNA from 1 species
GAUGAAGAACGUAGCAAAAUGCGAUAAGUAAUGUGAAUUGCAGAAUUCAGUGAAUCAUCGAAUCUUUGAACGCGCAUUGCGCCCGCCAGUAUUCUGGCGGGCAUGCCUGUUCGAGCGUCAUUUCAACCCUCAAGCACAGCUUGGUGUUGGGACUCGCGUUAAUUCGCGUUCCUCAAAUUGAUUGGCGGUCACGUCGAGCUUCCAUAGCGUAGUAGUAAAACCCUCGUUACUGGUAAUCGUCGCGGCCACGCCGUUAAACCCCAACUUCUGAAUGUUGACCUCGGAUCAGGUAGGAAUACCCGCUGAACUUAAGCAUAUCAAUAAGCGGAGGA